AGUCCAGCUAAGAGUAUCAUUUCCGAAAGGCGUGAUGCGGUUUCUAUUGUAGUACCGUUAAGCAACUCUAAGGCUGGCAACUUU
rnacentral:ncRNA from 1 species